CCUACGGGUGGCAGCAGUGAGGAAUAUUGGUCAAUGGGCGCGAGCCUGAACCAGCCAAGCCGCGUGAAGGAGGACUGCCCUACGGGUUGUAAACCUCUUUUAUAAAGGAAUAAAGUGUGGCACGCGUCCCCUUUUGUAUGUACCUUAUGAAUAAGGAUCGGCUAACUCCGUGCCAGCAGCCGCGGUAAUACGGAGGAUGCGAGCGUUAUCCGGAUUUAUUGGGUUUAAAGGGAGCGGAGGUGGGCUGUUAAGUCAGUCGUGAAAGUGUGGGGCCUAACCCUGAAACUGCCGUUGAAACUGGCAGUCUGGAGUGGGGGUGAGGUAGGCGGAAUGCGUGGUGUAGCGGUGAAAUGCUUAGAUAUCACGAAGAACUCCGAUUGCGAAGGCAGCAUACUGGACUGAAACUGACGUUGAUGCUCGAAAGUGUGGGUAUCAAACAGGAUUAGAUACCCGGGUAGUC
rnacentral:rRNA from 1 species